UCAGGCCUAACACAUGCAAGUCGAACGGCAGCACGGGAGCAAUCCUGGUGGCGAGUGGCGAACGGGUGAGUAAUACAUCGGAACGUGCCCAGUAGUGGGGGAUAGCCCGGCGAAAGCCGGAUUAAUACCGCAUAUGCCCUGAGGGGGAAAGCGGGGGACCGAAAGGCCUCGCGCUAUUGGAGCGGCCGAUGGCUGAUUAGCUAGUUGGUGGGGUAAAGGCCCACCAAGGCGACGAUCAGUAGCUGGUCUGAGAGGACGACCAGCCACACUGGGACUGAGACACGGCCCAGACUCCUACGGGAGGCAGCAGUGGGGAAUUUUGGACAAUGGGCGCAAGCCUGAUCCAGCAAGGCCGCGUGUGCGAAGAAGGCCCUCGGGUU
rnacentral:rRNA from 1 species